rnacentral:rRNA from 1 species
UACGGAGGGUGCGAGCGUUGUCCGGAAUCACUGGGCGUAAAGGGCGCGUAGGUGGCGCGACAAGUCAACGGUGAAAGCUCGGCGCUCAACGCCGAGUCGGCCGUCGAUACUGUUGGGCUUGAGCACUGUAGAGGCUAAUGGAAUUCCGGGUGUAGCGGUGGAAUGCGUAGAGAUCCGGAAGAACACCGGUGGCGAAGGCGGCCUGCUGGGCAGUAGCUGACGCUGAGGCGCGACAGCGUGGGGAGCAAACAGG